CGUGGUAGGUAGCCUGACCAAUAUGUAAUGCAAGGAAACGGAUCACCUUUCUUGGAGGUUUUUCAGCAAGAUGUUCCAUCCCUACAUUGUGGAGAGGAGAAGAGUAAACCCGCGUUUGCAUCCUGAACCAUUAUUAUCAUCCAGAGCUUUUCUUUUUCUAAUUGCGAAUUUUACUAGGCACCGUCCUUAACAUAAAAGAACUAGCCCAGGCUUUGUUUCUUGCGUGCUCUGUACGAAAAAGCAAUUCACAUUAUCACUCGUUACUUCGAACAAA